rnacentral:rRNA from 1 species
UACGAAGGGUGCAAGCGUUAAUCGGAAUUACUGGGCGUAAAGGGUGCGUAGGCGGUUAGUCAAGUCUGUUGUGAAAUCCCCGGGCUCAACCUGGGAAUGGCAAUGGAUACUGGCUGGCUAGAGUGUGUCAGAGGAUGGUGGAAUUCCCGGUGUAGCGGUGAAAUGCGUAGAGAUCGGGAGGAACAUCAGUGGCGAAGGCGGCCAUCUGGGACAACACUGACGCUGAAGCACGAAAGCGUGGGGAGCAAACAGG